GGAGAGAUGGCUCAGUGGUUAAGAGCACUGACUGCUCUUCCAGAGGACCUGGGUUCAAUUCCCAGCACCCCCA
rfam:Cricetulus griseus cell line CHO-K1, whole genome shotgun sequence.